rnacentral:rRNA from 1 species
GGCGUUCUUUUGGGGCUCGGAUUUAGCCAUGCUAGUCGCACGAGUUCAGACUCGUGGCGAAUAGCUCAGUAACACGUGGCCAAACUACCCUUCGGAACACAAUACCCUCGGGAAACUGAGGCUAAUAGUGUAUACCAUACCACCACUGGAAUGAGUGGUGUGCCAAACGCUCCGGCGCCGAAGGAUGUGGCUGCGGCCGAUUAGGUAGACGGUGGGGUAACGGCCCACCGUGCCAAUAAUCGGUAUGGGUCAUGAGAGUGAGAACCCGGAGACGGAAUCUGAGACAAGAUUCCGGGCCCUACGGGGCGCAGCAGGCGCGAAACCUUUACACUGCACGACAGUGCGAUAGGGGGAUCCCAAGUGCGCAGGCAUAGCGCCUGUGCUUUUCGGCACCCUAAGGCGGUGCCAGAAUAAGGGCUGGGCAAGACCGGUGCCAGCCGCCGCGGUAAUACCGGCAGCCCAAGUGAUGGCCGAUCUUAUUGGGCCUAAAGCGUCCGUAGCUGGCCGCGCAAGUCCAUCGGAAAAUCCACCUGCUCAACGGGUGGGCGUCCGGUGGAAACUGCGUGGCUUGGGACCGGAAGGCGCGACGGGUACGUCCGGGGUAGGAGUGAAAUCCCGUAAUCCUGGACGGACCGCCGAUGGCGAAAGCACGUCGCGAGGACGGAUCCGACAGUGAGGGAC